rnacentral:rRNA from 1 species
CACGUAGGGGGCAAGCGUUGUCCGGAUUUAUUGGGCGUAAAGAGCUCGUAGGUGGCUUAGUAAGUCGGGUGUGAAACCUCCAGGCUCAACCUGGAGACGCCACCCGAUACUGCUAUAGCUUGAGUCCGGUAGGGGAGCGUGGAAUUCCUGGUGUAGCGGUGAAAUGCGCAGAUAUCAGGAGGAACACCAAUGGCGAAGGCAGCUCACUGGGACGGUAUUGACGCUGAGACGCGAAAGCGUGGGGAGCAAACAGG